GACGGAGGAUGCAAGUGUUAUCCGGAAUCACUGGGCGUAAAGCGUCUGUAGGUGGUUUAGUAAGUCAACUGUUAAAUCUUGGGGCUUAACCUCAAAAUUGCAGUCGAAACUAUUAGGCUAGAGUAUAGUAGAGGUAAAGGGAAUUUCCAGUGGAGCGGUGAAAUGCGUAGAGAUUGGAAAGAACACCGAUGGCGAAAGCACUUUACUGGGCUAUUACUGACACUCAGAGACGAAAGCUAGGGUAGCAAAUGGG
rnacentral:rRNA from 1 species